rnacentral:piRNA from 1 species
UGAAUCCACAGCAUUGUGCCCUCUAGGCUA